rnacentral:rRNA from 1 species
GACGAACGCUGGCGGCGUGCUUAACACAUGCAAGUCGAGCGGUAAGGCCCUUUCGGGGGUACACGAGCGGCGAACGGGUGAGUAACACGUGGGUGACCUGCCCUCAGCUCUGGGAUAAGCCUGGGAAACUGGGUCUAAUACUGGAUAUGACUCCACGGUGCAUGUCGUGGGGUGGAAAGCCUUGUGCGGCUGAGGAUGGGCCCGCGGCCUAUCAGCUUGUUGGUGGGGUGAUGGCCUACCAAGGCGACGACGGGUAGCCGGCCUGAGAGGGCGACCAGCCACACUGGGACUGAGACACGGCCCAGACUCCUACGGGAGGCAGCAGUGGGGAAUCUUGGACAAUGGGCGCAAGCCUGAUCCAGCCAUGCCGCGUGGGUGAAGAAGGCCU